AAUGAAGAGUGAAAUCUAUAAAACACUCCCAAGUACUACUUAAAAUAGCAUUUUCCCCGUUACGAGAAAAGAAAAUUGGAACAUUUUCCCUCUUGGUGUUCUUCAAUUUUCCCUGCAAAUUUCUCAAUCUUUGCCGUCAUGUUCAGAGACGCCGUCGGAAUCGCUUCUGGAGUUGUUUUGACCUUCGCCAGAUUUCGAUUCCCUACUGCUCUUAUGCUCUAAUGUAGAAUCGGUGAGCCUCCAUCGCUCGAUGAGGAGCUGUUUUUUCUGCUGUGAUUUGGCUGUACGUCGUCUUUGAAUACCACUCGUUUUUGUUCAGAGUCUUUGUUUUUAGAUGCGCCGUCUUUGUCUCCUUUUCCUAUUUUUCGAGAUUCGGUAUCGGAAUCCGAAGAUUCUGAAGAGUAAUCGUCGCCUGCAUCCUCCUCAUCCUCCUCCUCAUCCUCAGGCUCGGGUUCCGGUGGAUAAGGGAGUGGAGUGAGAUUCUCGUCUGGAACUGUGGAAAGAAAACUGAGAGCCGUCAUGACGUCGGCGAUCAGAGGACGGACUUCUGCUUCCUCUUGCAGACACAUGGCGGUGACGGCAACGGCCUGAUUCAGAUCUUUCUCCGGGAACAAUCGCCCGAGGAGUGGAUCGGCCAGGUCUGGAAAUCUCUUUGGAUCUCGGAAAAAUGGUUGUGCCUGUUACACAGCCAUGGCUUCAAAGCUCACAUAAUUUAAAGGAGUACUGAAAUCAUUGUCCAAUUGAUAAAUUCUUGGGCAAGGCAGAAGGAAAAGGCCUCUAUAUUUGUCAACGGCUUUUCUUCCGGUAAUGAGUUCAAGCAUCACAACUCCAAAGCUGUAAAUAUCAGACUUGGAAGUGAGUUGUCCACCACUUGUGUAUUCAGGAGCAGAGUAACCAUAGGUGCCCAUGACCCUCGAUGGCAACGGUGACUUAUCACCGCCAGAGCCGAGCUUUGCGAGCCCGAAAUCAGAAAGCUUUGGAUUAAAAUCCUCAUCUAGCAAGAUGUUUGAUGACUUCAAAUCACGAAAUAUUAUGGGAGGAUCUGCUUGAUCAUGCAGGUAGCUGAUUGGAUAUUAUUUGGCAAACAAAUUACUGGAUCUUGAGGUCGACGAUGCAGCCAGAUAAAAAAUGAAUCAAUCCCAAACCCAACUUCACCAUUUCAGUUGGACCAAAGAAAAUAGGCUGGAGUGAACUGAUCAGUAUCAUCAUCUCGCCUUACAAGCUCAAAUGCUAGCCAAGGUUGGCUUUAUGAUGGUUGAUGGUUGAUGGUUGGUACAAUGAUGAAACAUGCAAGGUGGGGUGGAGCUGGAUGCCUUCGGGCAUGCGACAUGAACCUUGUUGAGUUCGGGAUGUCGUGGUGAUGCCUCUCAGCCUAAACCCUAUGGUGACGGCGGUGCGGUGGCGGUACAUGCACGGUGGAGCAGAGUUGGGUGCCUUUAGGCGUGUGAUAUGAGCCUCGUUGGGCAUCAAAUGUUUUUGCGUUGUCUCCCAACCUUGGUCAAAUGUGUAGUGUUUCCAAUCCCCCCCCACACCCACACACACUUUCCUUCACCCUUUGUACAUGACAUUGGAGUGCAACAUGCGAAUAUUAUCACUAAGGUCCUAGCAAGUGUUGGUAGGGAUGUGGGAAUUGCUCGGAGCGAAGAAUCUUGAGUGAAGUCAAGCUUACAGGGAUAUUGUGAGUCAAUAGGCUCGACUUAUAUUGAUUUUGUUUUUAGAAUUGUUUUUGUGGUGCAAGGGUAGGAAAUUUAACGUGUGGAAUAUAUUUAAGGAAUAAUAAUUUGUGAAGCAAAUUUAGGUGA